rnacentral:rRNA from 1 species
GACGAACGCUGGCGGCGUGCUUAACACAUGCAAGUCGAACGAAGUGGCGAACGGGUGAGUAACGCGUAAUCAACCUGCCCUUCAGUGGGGGACAACCGUUGGAAACGACUGCUAAUACCGCAUACUGAAGGAGGGGAUUGCGUCUGAUGAGCUAGUUGGAGGGGUAACGGCCCACCAAGGCGAUGACUAGUAGCCGGGCUGGGGGGAUGAACGGCCACAGUGGGACUGAGACACGGCCCAGAAUUCUACGGGAGGCAGCAGGGUGGAAUCUUCCGCAAGGGACGAAAGUCUGACGGAGCAACGCCGCGUGAGUGAUGACGGCCUUCGGGUUGGAAAGAUCUGUUAAUCGGGACGCGGUACCGGAAUAGAAAGCCAUGGCUAACUACGUGCCAGCAGCCGCGGUAAUAC